rnacentral:rRNA from 1 species
UGCCUACGGGAGGCAGCAGUGGGGGAUAUUGCACAAUGGGGGAAACCCUGAUGCAGCGACGCCGCGUGAGUGAAGAAGUAUUUGGGUAUGUAAAGCUCUAUCAGCAGGGAAGAAAAUGACAGUACCUGACCAAGAAGCCCCGGCUAACUACGUGCCAGCAGCCGCGGUAAUACGUAGGGGGCAAGCGUUAUCCGGAAUUACUGGGUGUAAAGGGAGCGUAGACGGUGAUGCAAGUCUGGAGUGAAAGGCGGGGGCCCAACCCCCGGACUGCUCUGGAAACUGUGUAACUUGAGUGCAGGAGAGGG